AUUGAACGCUGGCGGCAGGCCUAACACAUGCAAGUCGAGCGGAGCGGCGGACGGGUGAGUAAUGUAUCGGAACGUGCCCAGUAGCGGGGGAUUACUACGCGAAAGCGUAGCUAAUACCGCCUACUAUUGGAGCGGCCGAUAUCGGAUUAGCUAGUUGGUGGGGUAACGGCUCACAAAGGCGACCAUCCGUAGCUGGUUUGAGAGGACGACAUGCCAACCUGAGACUGGGACACGGCCCAGACGCUGACGGAAGGAAGCAGUGGGGAAUUUUGGACAAUGGGGGAAACCCUGAUCCAGCCAUCCCGCGUGUUCGAUGAAGGCCGUCGGGUGGUAAAGCACUUGUGGCAGGAAAGGAGUAUCUGCAGAAUAAGCACCGGCUAACUACGUGCCAGCAGCCGCGGUAAUAC
rnacentral:rRNA from 1 species